rnacentral:rRNA from 1 species
CCUACGGGAGGCUGCAGUGGGGAAUAUUGGACAAUGGGGGGAACCCUGAUCCAGCCAUGCCGCGUGUGUGAAGAAGGCCCUCGGGUUGUAAAGCACUUUCAGUGAGGAAGAACGCCUGGUGGUUAAUACCCAUCAGGAAAGACAUCACUCACAGAAGAAGCACCGGCUAACUCCGUGCCAGCAGCCGCGGUAAUACGGAGGGUGCGAGCGUUAAUCGGAAUUACUGGGCGUAAAGCGCGCGUAGGUGGCUUGAUAAGCCGGUUGUGAAAGCCCCGGGCUCAACCUGGGAACGGCAUCCGGAACUGUCAAGCUAGAGUGCAGGAGAGGAAGGUAGAAUUCCCGGUGUAGCGGUGAAAUGCGUAGAGAUCGGGAGGAAUACCAGUGGCGAAGGCGGUCUUCUGGACUGACACUGACACUGAGGUGCGAAAGCGUGGGUAGCAAACAGGAUUAGAUACCCCAGUAGUC